UACGGAGGAUCCAAGCGUUAUCCGGAAUUACUGGGCGUAAAGAGUUGCGUAGGCGGCAUUGUAAGCAGGUAGUGAAAAUCGUGUGGCUCAACCAUACUCACAUUACCUGAACUGCAAAGCUAGAGGACAAGAGAGGUCACUGGAAUUCCUAGUGUAGGAGUGAAAUCCGUAGAUAUUAGGAGGAACACCGAUGGCGUAGGCAGGUGACUGGCUUGUUCCUGACGCUCAGGCACGAAAGCGUGGGUAGCAAACGGG
rnacentral:rRNA from 1 species